UAGGUACUGGUAAGUUACUCGUUGACUUUUACUAAGUUAGUUAACUACACAUUUAACCAAGUUACCUAACUACUGUAGAGUCGUGAGACCUGUAAAGAAUUAACUAAUAUUCGCCACGAACUGAUUAUCAUAUACAAGAAUGGUAAUUAAGCCGACCUCCAAUCCGACUUCCGAGUCUUUUUUUUUUUUUUUUUUUUUUUUUUUUUUUUUUUUUUUUUCCUUCCCACCUUCCCUUUCUUUCCAUUUUUGAUGAUCAACCGACUAGCCAUGUUUUUCAAGUCAAGUGUAUCAUCUGAAUGAAAUAAUCGGCGCUUGUGACGGUCGCCGGUCGGUGGCCGCGGAACGAACACCACCAUAUCCUCCUCUACUGAGCUGGGCCGGGCUGGGCUGGGCAGUGCUGUGGUAGAUGAAUGAUGAUGAUGAUGGAUGUGAUGCAUGCAAGGCGAUGCAUCUCGUCUUUCUGCCUACGGGAUUACUAUGUAACUUAUGCAGUGUACAGAGUAUCCGUCAACACUGCGUACCGUACCUUUGACCUUUGACACCUACGCCGAGCAUCGAUCGCUUGCCCUAUUGAAUUUGUGCAUUUCCUCGGCGUUUAUGUAUCCUCUGUCACUAACUAUGUAACUUACUAUUGAAUCUAUCAAUCUCAUAGUACGUCGUUAGCAGCCGCUUGACCACAGAGUAACUAGCACUUAACGGACUCUGUGAUGAUUAUGAGACGCAUUCCCUUCGUACCUGGGGUAAAUACUCUCUCUGUAUUGAUGGCAGUGUAUGCAAGUCUCCAUCCCAUAUCCAGUCAUCGACCAACCAGACUCGUGACUCGAUGGUGUAUCAUAUUUCAAUAAAGCGGAACACGCCGGACAACCUAGGAGGUAAGUAGUACAUACCAUUACAACACACUGCACAGAAGUUCGUAUCUACGAGUAGGAGCCAACCUAACGGAUGGAAAUAGAAAUGGACAUGCAUGCAAAGUAAAUAAAUAAUCCGAUCGAAUUUAACCUGAUCUGAUCUGAUCUUCAUGGAGCUGAAAUUUAAAAAAACAAACAAACAAACAAACAAACAAACAAACAAACAAACAAACACGGUUCAUAGGCUCGAAGUAUAAUAUCGGCCCUAGGGACCCCAAGGAUUGAUUGGGCGAUUGGAGACGAAAUGAAAAAUGUCGGUGAAUAAUAAAUUGAUGGUAUUAUGACUAGGUAACUGGACUUGUGAUGAGCCUUUUUGCAAGGGUGAAUUGGAUAUCCAUGCAUCACGUGGAAAGCAAUGGAGUGAUAGGUUUGAUGAGCCCGGCUGUACAUAGUAAGUAACUUAUAGUUUAGUAUAGUAACUAUAUAUUUUGGUGCCUUAUUGAAGCGUUGUAUCAACUUAUCAAGGAUGUGUCUGACUGCUCAGCCUUGCUUGAAACCUACAUACAUACGGCGGACAGAGUCAUACGGACUCAGCUAACUAACUAGUUAACUAGUUAACUAAUUAGUUAAUGAACUAGCUUUCGAUAGGUCUACUGAUCAUCGUAAAACCUAUUAAUUGUCAUUGACUCAGUGUCAGGUCAGGUCAGACCGUCGCCCCCGGAUGGAUGGACAUGGACGGGAUGGGAUGCCUACCUACAUGUAUGUACUCUGCAACUGAACCUUACUACUCCGUACAUGCGCUUCUAAUUAUUUGGCCCCCCUCGCAUUUCGUUCUGACUUUCCAAGGUUCUAUAGAACCUUUCAGCAACAACAACUGCCGAGAAGGAUAGUUAACUAUCUGGCUUUUACUCCGUCCGUUGUACCUAGUCAACCUACGUGUUGAUUUAUGCCUGUCAUUUAACUUAGCGUUGACACUAAGUUAGUUAACUUAAGUUACUUAAGUUAGGUAGCUGAUACAUUACGUACACACUGUCUUACCCUUUCGGACGAGUCCCGUUUCCAAAGAAGUUGUUUACUCGUCUUCCUCCAUGUCGAUAUAAC
rnacentral:lncRNA from 1 species